GACGAACGCUGGCGGCGUGCCUAAUACGUGCAAGUUGAGCGCUGAAGGUUGGUACUUGUACCGACUGGAUGAGCAGCGAACGGGUGAGUAACGCGUGGGGAAUCUGCCUUUGAGCGGGGGACAACAUUUGGAAACGAAUGCUAAUACCGCAUAAAAACUUUAAACACAAGUUUUAAGUUUGAAAGAUGCAAUUGCAUCACUCAAAGAUGAUCCCGCGUUGUAUUAGCUAGUUGGUGAGGUAAAGGCUCACCAAGGCGAUGAUACAUAGCCGACCUGAGAGGGUGAUCGGCCACAUUGGGACUGAGACACGGCCCAAACUCCUACGGGAGGCAGCAGUAGGGAAUCUUCGGCAAUGGACGAAAGUCUGACCGAGCAACGCCGCGUGAGUGAAGAAGGUUGUCGGACCGUAAAACUCUGUUGGUAGAGAAGAACGUUGGUGAGAGUGGAAAGCUCAUCAAGUGACGGUAACUACACAGAAAGGGACGGCUAACUACGUG
rnacentral:rRNA from 1 species